AUUGAACGCUGGCGGCAUGCUUUACACAUGCAAGUCGAACGGUAACAGGGAGCUUGCUCCGCUGACGAGUGGCGAACGGGUGAGUAAUGCGUCGGAACGUGCCGAGUAGUGGGGGAUAACGCAUCGAAAGGUGUGCUAAUACCGCAUACGUACUGAGGUAGAAAGUGGGGGACCUUCGGGCCUCACGCUAUUCGAGCGGCCGACGUCUGAUUAGCUAGUUGGUGAGGUAAAGGCUCACCAAGGCGACGAUCAGUAGCGGGUCUGAGAGGAUGAUCCGCCACCAUGGGACUGAGACACGGCCCAGACUCCUACGGGAGGCAGCAGUGGGGAAUUUUGGACAAUGGGCGCAAGCCUGAUCCAGCCAUGCCGCGUGUCUGAAGAAGGCCUUCGGGUUGUAAAGGACUUUUGUCCGGGAGCAAAUGCUGGUGGCUAACAUCCACCGGAGCUGAGAGUACCGGAAGAAUAAGCACCGGCUAACUACGUGCCAGCAGCCGCGGUAACAC
rnacentral:rRNA from 1 species